rnacentral:rRNA from 1 species
UACGUAGGGUGCGAGCGUUAAUCGGAAUUACUGGGCGUAAAGCGUGCGCAGGCGGUUUUGUAAGCCAGGUGUGAAAUCCCCGGGCUCAACCCGGGAAUGGCAUUUGGGACUGCAAGGCUGGAGUGCGGCAGAGGAGACUGGAAUUCCUGGUGUAGCAGUGAAAUGCGUAGAUAUCAGGAGGAACACCGAUGGCGAAGGCAGGUCUCUGGGCUGACACUGACGCUCAUGCACGAAAGCGUGGGGAGCAAACAGG